UACCAACCUUCCCUUACCAGCCGAUAACUUCGCGUACUGCCAGGAUGUCGCGCUGUCAAACUACACCAGUGUUCCCAAUGUCAUCGUUUCGGCCGUCCAUAAGCAGUCGUUUGGAUCGACCAUUCCAGAAUACAACAGCAUUUCCGUAUGGGUGGAGUAUAUCACAAUUUUUAAGUUUCGUGUCUGCAUCAAGGAAUUGCACACACCCAAUGGCUACGAUUCGGUCUUCGUGUCGGCUAUUGUGAUGGCCUGAAAGAAUUACAAUACAGAAAAGAAUGCCUAUUUAUUGAUGAAAGAUUAUUAUAUUGCUAAAUUUAUAUCGAAAUAAAAG